rnacentral:rRNA from 1 species
AUAAAGGCUCACCAAGGCUACGAUGUUUAGGGGGUCUGAGAGGAUGAUCCCCCACACUGGUACUGAGACACGGACCAGACUCCUACGGGAGGCAGCAGUAGGGAAUAUUGGGCAAUGGGCGCAAGCCUGACCCAGCCAUGCCGCGUGCAGGAUGACAGCCUUACGGGUUGUAAACUGCUUUUAUACGGGAAAAAACCCUCUGACGUGUCAGAGGCUGAUGGUACCGUAAGAAUAAGCAUCGGCUAACUCCGUGCCAGCAGCCGCGGUAAUACGGAGGAUGCAAGCGUUAUCCGGAUUUACUGGGUUUAAAGGGUGCGCAGGCGGAACGACAAGUCAGUGGUGAAAUCUCCUGGCUUAACCAGGAAACUGCCAUUGAUACUAUCGUUCUUGAGUCCAGUUGAAGUAGGCGGAAUGUAGCAUGUAGCGGUGAAAUGCUUAGAUAUGCUACAGAACACCGAUAGCGAAGGCAGCUUACUAAACUGAAACUGACGCUCAUGCACGAAAGCGUGGGGAGCAAACAGGAUUAGAUACCCUGGUAGUCCACGCCCUAAACGAUGAUCACUCGUUGUUGGCAAUUAUAUCGUCAGCGACUAAGCGAAAGCAUUA